rnacentral:rRNA from 1 species
CAGUAGCCGCGGGAAUACGGAGGGAGCUAGCGUUGUUCGGAAUUACUGGGCGUAAAGGGAGCAUAGGCGGACAUUUAAGUCAGGUGUGAAAUCCCGGGGCUCAACCUCGGAAUUGCCUUUGAUACUGGGUGUCUUGAGUAUGAGAGAGGUAUGUGGAACUCCGAGUGUAGAGGUGAAAUUCGUAGAUAUUCGGAAGAACACCAGUGGUGAAGGCGACAUACUGGCUCAUUACUGACGCUGAGGCUCGAAAGCGUGGGGAGCAAACAGGAUUAGAUACCCCCGUAGUCCCUGUCUCUUAUAC